GAAUUCUAAAUUUUUAUGUUAUUAUGGGGAUGAAUAAUGUUUAUUAAGUUUGUUCUGUUUGCUUCCGAGGCGAAUUGAGUGACGAGGGAGAAGAAAGGAGAAGAAGCCGAUGCACAAUGGAGAAGACGAAAUUGAAGAUUGAAGAACGGAGAAAGAGGUCUGGGAAAAGGAGUUGUCGGACCUCCUUUGGUGGGGGUUCUGUCGCUUUACAAAAGGGAAGAAGAACCCGUGUUCUAGGUUUUGUCGUCAACGAAAAGAGAACAUAUUGUUUUUGUUUCUUAUAUUUUUCUUUUGAAUUAAAAUCUAUUUUAUUAAAUGGCAUAUUAAAAAUUAAUGGCAAACUUGUGGUUAAUGCUUCAAAGGUUGGGUUUUUAGUAAAUUUGCCUAUUUUGAAUUACAAUCUAGUAAUUAAAAAGUUAUAUGAGUUAUCUGAGUAAUUACUAGAAUGAUUUGAGCUAUUCCAAGUAAAUUCUCUUGUUCUUUAGCACUCCUCUGUUUCUUGGCUUAGCUCUUUUUUUUUUUUAUCUUUUUUGCAAUAGCUGAUCCUAGUAUGAUCUUUUUAAUUUGUAAUAAUUUACAAAUCAGCAUCAUUUUA
rnacentral:lncRNA from 1 species